CCUACGGGAGGCAGCAGUGGGGAAUAUUGGACAAUGGGGGAAACCCUGAACCAGCGACGUCGCGUGAGUGAAGACGUACCUCGGUAUGUUAAGCCCUUUCAGCCGGAGAGCAAAUGACGGUACCUGUCUCAGAAGCCCCGGCUAACUACGUGCAAGCAGCCGCGGGAACAGGCGGGGGGCAAGCGUUAUCCGGAUUUACUGGGUGUAAAGGGAGCGUAGACGGGAGCGCAAGUUCGGAGUGAAAUGCCGGGGCCCAACCCCGGAACUGCUCUGGAAACUGGGUAGCUGGAGUGCAGGAGAGGUAAGCGGAAUGCGUGGUGUAGCGGUGAAAUGCAUAGAUAUCACGAAGAACACCGACGGCGAAGGCAGCUUACUGGAGUCUAACUGACGUUGAGGCACGAAGGCGUGGGGAUCGAACAGGAUUAGAUACCCGAGUAGUC
rnacentral:rRNA from 1 species